rnacentral:lncRNA from 1 species
GAGACGCAGGGGUGCAGGACAAGCUGUGCCCCCACUGGGCUGAGAUGCCCUGCGUCUUCCCAGGU